rnacentral:lncRNA from 1 species
UGCAUUCAAAUGUAACAUUUGUGAUUUCAUCAUGCACAGUGAUUGUGUUAUGUUAUCACCAUCUCUGAAGCAUAGAUACGACGAACACCCUUUUAUCCUAACAUAUUAUCCUCUCCAGAACCAUCCGGAUGAUUAUUACUGUGAAAUUUGUGAGAAAGAAGUAAACCCGAAGAAUUGGUUCUACCAUUGUGUAGAAUGUGACCAGUCUAUUCACGUACAUUAUCAGAAGUAUUCAAAUAUCAAGUUUGGGGCAUCCUUUAAGGUGGAAGGUCACCAACACCCUCUCAAUUUUGUUCAAUUUAGGAACGAAUAUGGCUCUCGUUGCAAUGCCUGUGGCAAAAGAUUGCACGGGUACUUUUCCAUUUCCCCUGGGUUUGAAUGUGGGUCUUGUGAAUUUAAGCUCCACCUUCAAUGUGCUUCAGAUGCUGAAAAAUUUAUCAAAACAAUCAUGGGACAUGCGUACCAGCUUUCAACACAACUGGUACUUCUAUAAUGGGUGUCUCCAUUAUAAAAGUUCCGUUCUAGUAUCUGCAAAUGGUUUGAUUUCCUCUCUCUCUCAGUUGUAUUUGUUGUUGUUUGUGGAUUACCCUGUGCUUAUGGUAAUGUUGCAAGUUUUGCUUAAUUCAAUGUUCAGUUUGAUGCUUAAGUUCCUGCAUGUGUUGGUGCCAAAAUAAUAACAUAAAUUUUAUCCGUAAAAGCAUAAUUAAGUUCUAAUCUUAGGUGUUGUUUGAUAAAAUUGAAUCCUGAAAACUGAAACUUAAAAAAUAAGUAUUGUUGAGUGAUGAAUGUUUUAAGUUAAAAAGUUAUUUGAUAAAAGUAUAAAUGCUGAAUUAAAAACAAUUGAAAUAUUCAACAAACUAAAUCUAAAUCUAAUUUAUAUAUUCAACAAAAUUUAUUAUUUUUUUUAAUUUAUAAAAGAAGUUGUGGUGGUUUGUUGGUGUUCAAAUGGUAUUGGUGUUGGUGGUUGUGGCAUUGGUAGGGGUAGUGGAGGAAUGUUAGUGGUGGUGGUGUGUUGGAGGUAGAAUAGCGGCUGUGAAGAUGAACUGCUACUCCCAGAAUCUGACCAUGAAAUUGUGGUGGUUUGUUGGUGUUCAAAUGGUAUUGGUGUUGGUGGUUGUGGCAUUGGUAGGGGUAGUGGAGGAAUGUUAGUGGUGGUGGUGUGUUGGAGGUAGAAUAGCGGCUGUGAAGAUGAACUGCUACUCCCAGAAUCUGACCAUGAAAUUGUCUUUUCUUUGAAUUUGUUGAAUGUUUUUCACUUUCUCCUCAAAAUUUAAUAUAUAUUUUUGCAAUUUGGCUUGACUAGUGGAAUUCGAAAAAUAAAAAAAAAUGAACCAAAUUAGAAAAAAGUCUACUAACGAGAAAAGAAAAAGACAAAAACCAUAAACAAAACUAACUUUUUCUUAUUUUUAAUGAACUUAAAAUAGUUUUUAGCUCCCCAAAAUCAUUCGACCCCAUUUACCCCACAUCAAAGCCACGCUUAAGUCCUAAAAGUCAUUAGUUAAUUUUAAUAUUUUGGUUAAUUUUGCUCUUUGUCCCAAACUAUGUAGAGUUAACUGUAGAUUUGUAAAGGUCAAGGUUAUGUGAUUUUGGACUAAACCAACAACCACAGUAAAAAAUUUCUCUUUAAACUAACAAGAGUAGAGCCUCUUCCUAUUUUAAUGAAAUAUUUUAGCUUACAAGGCGUAUACAUACUACACUCAGUUUUCAGGAUUCGGGGUUAUUGCGGAGAGUUCAAUCCCUGUCGGGUUGCAGGGACCCAAAACGACGUCACCAAAUUCCCCGCAAAAAACCUCUCUCCCAGUUUUCAUCCUAGUUUCCAAAAUGGGUCUAGAUCAAUUCGUACUACACUCUAAGUACAAAACAGGGGAAUCAAAUUUUCGGAUAAACCAAACAAAACCCAGAAAGAUUUUGAUUCAAUCAUACCCAUAUAAUUGGUUUCUUAGGAUGCUUCAUCAAAUUCAUAAAACAAAUAUAUAUAUGCCUAGAUAGAUAUAAACAUAGAUACAUAUAAGGAGAAAUUACCUAUUCAAUUCAGAGCUUUCGACAAAAUUCUGAUUUUAUAGAUAUACGCUGAUGGUAAUAAUGCCGGUGUCGGUCACAAUGAUGAUGCCGGUGCUAUUACCGCCAUCAAUGAAGAUGGUGACGACGACGGUAAACAUGACGCCAAUAGCAAAGACGAAAAAAAAAAUCAUGAAUGAUUUUUUUUUAAUUAUUCCAAUAGAUUCUCAAUAAACUCUUGAAUAAAAAAGAAAAAAACAAAUUUAAUUAUAACAACAAAUUCUCAUACUGCCAUAAUAAUCACCAUCAUCCUCAUUAUCAUCAUAAGCCAAAAAAACAGAAAUAAUAAAGAUGAAGAAGAAAACUCCGUAGCUAAGACAACUCAUGGGUUAGGUUUCUCCCAGCAAAGUUGCACUUAAUUUGCUAUUCCAAGAACAAAACCUUUCAAAAUUCAAUCAAAUGAUGCCUAACAAUCAACCUUAUAAUAUGAAGAAUAAUCCUA